UACACUGGUGGCCUAGUGGUUACAGCGUCUGUCUCAGAUGCAGGAGGUCAUGGGUUCGAACCCCUGCCAUGUCA